UGAAUACGAGACGCUAAGGCGUCGAAGUAGUGUAUGUCAUACUUCCAAGAAAAGCUUGCACUGUCAUAGAUAAAAAACGCCUGUACCAUAACCGACACAGGUGGGUAGGUAGAGUAUACUAAGGGGCGCGAGAUAACUCUCUCUAAGGAACUCGGCAAAAUAACUCCGUAACUUCGGGAGAAGGAGUGCCUUAUUCGUAAGGUUGCAAUAACAAGAUCCAAGCAACUGUUUAUCAAAAACACAGGUCUCCGCUAAGUCGUAAGACGAUGUAUGGGGGCUGACGCCUGCCCAGUGCCAGAAGGUUAAAGAAGUUGGUUAGCAAUUGCGAAGCUGAUAACUGAAGCCCUGGUGAACGGCGGCCGUAACAAUAACGGUCCUAAGGUAGCGAAAUUCCUUGUCGGGUAAGUUCCGACCCGCACGAAAGGCGUAAUGAUUUGGAUACUGUCUCGGAGAGGGGCUCGGUGAAAUAGACUUGUCUGUGAAGAUGCGGACUACCUGCACCAGGACAGAAAGACCCUAUGAAGCUUUACUGUAACUUGAAAUUGAAAUUGGACUUUAUUCGCGCAGUAUAGGUGGGAGGCGUUGAUUAUAAUCUUGUGGGAUUAUUGGAGCCAUCAGUGAGAUACCACUCUUGUAAUGUUAGAUUUCUAACUUUGAAUCAUUAUCUGGUCAAAGAACAGUUUCAGGCGGGCAGUUUGACUGGGGCGGUCGCCUCCUAAACGGUAACGGAGGCGUACAAAGGUUUCCUCUGAACGGUUAGAAAUCGUAUCUAGAGUGUAAAGGCAUAAGGAAGCUUGACUGUGAGACCUACAAGUCGAGCAGGGACGAAAGUCGGUCUUAGUGAUCUGACGGUACUGAGUGGAAAGGCCGUCACUCAACGGAUAAAAGUUACUCUAAGGAUAACAGGCUGAUCUCCCCCAAGAGUUCACAUCGACGGGGAGGUUUGGCACCUCGAUGUCGGCUCAUCGCAUCCUGGGGCGGUAGUACGUCCCAAGGGUUGGGCUGUUCGCCCAUGAAAGCGGUACGCGAGCUGGGUUCAGAACGUCGUGAGACAGUUCGGUCCAUAUCCGGUGUAGGCGUUAGAAUAUUGAGAGGAGCCUUCUUUAGUACGAGAGGACCGAGAAGGACAUACCUCUGGUGUACCAGUUAUCGUGCCAACGGUAAACGCUGGGUAGCUAUGUAUGGAGUGGAUAACCGCUGAAAGCAUCUAAGUGGGAAGCCCACCUCAAGAUAAGUAUUCUC
rnacentral:rRNA from 1 species